UACAGAGGGUGCGAGCGUUAAUCGGAAUUACUGGGCGUAAAGCGCGCGUAGGCGGUUUUGCAAGUCGGAUGUGAAAUCCCCGGGCUUAACCUGAGAACUGCAUUCGAGACUGCAUUGCUAGAGUAUGGGAGAGGGAAGUGGAAUUUCAGGUGUAGCGGUGAAAUGCGUAGAUAUCUGAAGGAACAUCAGUGGCGAAAGCGACUUCCUGGACCAAUACUGACGCUCAUGUGCGAAAGCGUGGGGAGCAAACAGG
rnacentral:rRNA from 1 species